GGGUUUAAAAAGACUGACAAAAUGUAGCUUGGAUUGUGAAGGGGGACAAAUCUAGUAAUAUAGUCAAACAGAGUGGGAGAGUGAGAAAGGGGGGAGAGAGAGAGAGAGAGUGAACAGUCGAAACAGUGAACGGUGGGGAAUCUUGGGCAAAGGAGGUAAGACAGGAUAUGAAAACAAUGGACUCAUUGUAGAGAGAUGAUAGAAGGAUGAGAAGGAGAUCGGUGGAACACAGCACCAUCUACAGGCUGAUAGAGCACACCAUAAGAUGAUCGCAUGAAGACGACCAGAAGUGGUUGCAACACGAGAAAGAGUGACUCACUUUGAAACCCUCUUUGACGUGUUUCCACAUAAAAGGCUUCGACAAACAAGAGAGAGGUGACCGUUUUGUAGCCCCACCACCUUUCCUGUGCCAAAAAUGCCAACUGUAACAACAAAGAGUGGCAGAUGCCAAGGGAAUCCCAGACGAAUGACCUCCGUGAAGCCGGCCUACCAAAGAGAAGCAAAUAUUUACCCUGCGUGUUUGAACCCAUGGCACAGUGCCACGGCUGCCCCUCAGAGUGCAUACCGGCCCGAUAGGCUUACUCGUCCUCUAACUUUACUCCCUGGGUACUCCCCUAUAUGACGCCAGAAAAAUCUUCUCAGUUUUCAACCAUCAUAUCAUAGAGUGGGUCAUGACAGAAAGGGUCCAGCACAUCCCAGAGCUCAGCCGCCCUGAGACCAAAGUCUCCUUAUGGGACACUAACUUCAAAGUCCAUUUUGGAAGGACUGAUCUGAAGAAGACGAACCGGUCUCUGAUAACCAACAGAGCAGUCGGGAUCAGUGGAGAAGCCACCAAAUGAGAUCUCCUGGGCAUCAAACACACACAAUACAUAAAAUAUGUGCAUAUCAUAUUAAUGUGCUGUUCUAUUCUUCUGUUGAGGUGAAGCUGGAAGGAAUAUGCUGGCUGUCUUGACUGUGCAUGAUUUACUCUAUAGUAAACAGUUUUGCAUGGAAAACAUAUUGGCUCUAGUUUUGCGCGACUCUUUGACUCAGACUCUCCUCUUGGAAGAAUUUGCAGGUCAUACCAGGAUGCAAAACUGCACAUCUGACCCACCUGUGCACUCCAUGACCCCAUAACCCAUCAUCCUCCAUCAGAUUAGCAUGUCCACUCCAAGAAAUGAGCUCUCAAAUCAGCAUUUAAUCCGUCAGGAGAACAACAACAACGGCAGUGUGGUGCAAUAUAGAACAGAUGUGCAAGAUCUAUGACAAGAAAAUACCUUGAUGCUAUGUGUCAGCCAUCAUUUAAAAACAAAUAAAUAAAUCAGACUCAAUCUGAUAAAAGGGCCCAGAAUAGGUGCGUUGGAAAUUGAGAAACUCUGAAAAUCUUUCAGAUGUCUGUCUGCAUUAGGCUAUUGUCCUUUAAUCUGACUCCCACCAUGCUGGAUUGAAAUCCCUGUGUCCUGUAGGAGCAAUCAUCAGCUACAUUAUGGGGAAGGGGAGGUUAAGAGGCAAAAUGGAGAUGCGAACAAUGUGUUAAGCUCUGUCAAAAAAAAGAAAAAAAAAGAAAAGAGGAUUGCAGUGGAUAUUGAAUCAAUCACUAGAGCUACUGACUUUAUGACUCUACUAAGCUUGUUCUACUAGAUAGACAGGUGCUAUUGUUUUGAGAACAGCGAUCCAGGGUGAAAUGUUUGAAAAAUUCUUCAAUGGUAAACAAAAAGUAACUUUUUUCCUGAAAUAUUCCACAUCAAGCUCCAUGUCGAAAAUGCAUGACUCCAGGAGUUGGCAUGCGGCAGCGGUUCCAGCCUGCUCAGCCCACGCCGUCUCUAAAGACCCUUAAACCAAAGCAAACGUUUCAACAACAUUUCCAUCCAUUCCUGCUCUAACAGUGUGAUGAGAGCAGGUUAAAGCUGUAAGCCAUCAAAGUCUGCCGAGCAGCGUGCCCUGUUUGAAACUCAUCUGGAUCCCCCAUAAACACUCCACUGCUAAUUGGCUGCACAUGUGGCACUGAGUGCAUUUUAGCAUGCGUUAGUGUGUGUGUGCCACAGCGUUGUAGAACGUGCAUGCGUGUGUUGGCAUACAACAUGGCUUAUCAGUCUGAUCAAAGACAGCCUUUCCUUAAACCGUCUGCAAUAUGAAAGGCACACAAAGGCAGGAAUAGCUUCAUGGUAAAUAUCUGAUCUGGAGAGUAAUUGGUACCUGUCU